AGGUGCGUGAUCGAGGAAGUCGAUGCGUGCGCUGGGUCCAGCCGGAGGAACGGGAUCCGGGUCCAGCCGAUGUUGUCCAGUACGCGAGCGAGGGUUCGACAUCUGGGACACUGCCGACGAGUAGCGCUACCACAGCCUCGCCCCCAUGUUCCCCGGUGCCGCCGCCGCCAUAGUCAUCUACGACAUCACUAGCACGGCGUCAGGACUCUUACAUCCGAGCAAGGAAGAGGUGGGUUGACGAGCUUCAGAGACUAGUGCUUAUAUGCACAUGUCCAAACAGGGAACCCAGGUUUGGUGAUGGCGUUAGUAGGCAACAAGGUCGAUUUAGAAAACAAGAGGAGGCGCUAGAGAUGUCAGCGAAGAUGGCGACCUAGCCCAGGCGAUACGGCGUACGGCUCUGCAGGAUUGGAAUGAUUCGGUCCUCCGGACCGCACACCAAUGCACGUUCAUGCCAAUCUCGUCUCGCUGUUCGUCUGUUCGUCGAGGGAAACUACUCCGCCGGGAA